rnacentral:rRNA from 1 species
GAGCCGCCGCGGUAAUACGUAGGGGGCAAGCGUUGUUCGGAAUUAUUGGGCGUAAAGCGCGCGCAGGCGGUUCCUUAAGUCUGAUGUGAAUCGCCACAGCUCAACUGUGGAGGGCCAUUGGAAACUGGGGAACUUCUGGACAGAAGAGGAGAGCGGAAUUCCACGUGUAGCGGUGAAAUGCGUAGAAUUGUGGAGGAACACCAGUGGCGAAGGCGGCUCUCUGGUCUGUAACUGACGCUGAGGCGCGAAAGCAUGGGUAGCGAACAGGAUUAGAUACCCGCGUAGUCC